GAUGAACGCUAGCUACAGGCUUAACACAUGCAAGUCGAGGGGCAGCAUGGUCUUAGCUUGCUAAGGCCGAUGGCGACCGGCGCACGGGUGAGUAACACGUAUCCAACCUGCCGUCUACUCUUGGACAGCCUUCUGAAAGGAAGAUUAAUACAAGAUGGCAUCAUGAGUCCACAUGUUCACAUGAUUAAAGGUAUUCCGGUAGACGAUGGGGAUGCGUUCCAUUAGAUAGUAGGCGGGGUAAUGGCCCACCUAGUCUUCGAUGGGUAGGGGUUCUGAGAGGAAGGUCCCCCACAUUGGAACUGAGACACGGUCCAAACUCCUACGGGAGGCAGCAGUGAGGAAUAUUGGUCAAUGGGCGAGAGCCUGAACCAGCCAAGUAGCGUGAAGGAUGACUGCCCUAUGGGUUGUAAACUUCUUUUAUAAAGGAAUAAAGUCGGGUAUGCAUACCCGUUUGCAUGUACUUUAUGAAUAAGGAUCGGCUAACUCCGUGCCAGCAGCCGCGGUAAUACGGAGGAUCCGAGCGUUAUCCGGAUUUAUUGGGUUUAAAGGGAGCGUAGAUGGAUGUUUAAGUCAGUUGUGAAAGUUUGCGGCUCAACCGUAAAAUUGCAGUUGAUACUGGAUAUCUUGAGUGCAGUUGAGGCAGGCGGAAUUCGUGGUGUAGCGGUGAAAUGUUUAGAUAUCACGAAGAACUCCGAUUGCGAAGGCAGCCUGCUAAGCUGCAACUGACAUUGAGGCUCGAAAGUGUGGGUAUCAAACAGGAUUAGAUACCCUGGUAGUCCACACGGUAAACGAUGAAUACUCGCUGUUUGCGAUAUACAGCAAGCGGCCAAGCGAAAGCGUUAAGUAUUCCACCUGGGGAGUACGCCGGCAACGGUGAAACUCAAAGGAAUUGACGGGGGCCCGCACAAGCGGAGGAACAUGUGGUUUAAUUCGAUGAUACGCGAGGAACCUUACCCGGGCUUAAAUUGCAGAUGAAUUACGGUGAAAGCCGUAAGCCGCAAGGCAUCUGUGAAGGUGCUGCAUGGUUGUCGUCAGCUCGUGCCGUGAGGUGUCGGCUUAAGUGCCAUAACGAGCGCAACCCUUGUUGUCAGUUACUAACAGGUUCCGCUGAGGACUCUGACAAGACUGCCAUCGUAAGAUGUGAGGAAGGUGGGGAUGACGUCAAAUCAGCACGGCCCUUACGUCCGGGGCUACACACGUGUUACAAUGGGGGGUACAGAGGGCCGCUACCACGCGAGUGGAUGCCAAUCCCCAAAACCUCUCUCAGUUCGGACUGGAGUCUGCAACCCGACUCCACGAAGCUGGAUUCGCUAGUAAUCGCGCAUCAGCCACGGCGCGGUGAAUACGUUCCCGGGCCU
rnacentral:rRNA from 1 species